AGCAUUCUGAAUUCUUUCUUUUGUUCUUUUGGGGCUAUGACAAGCAAUUCUAUAGAAUUUCAUCUUAAUGUAUAGUUGAAGCCUAGUUACCAGUAAAAUACUAUGCAAAUUCUUCAGGGUGACCAUGAUUUAGUGUUUAUAGGCCAAAAUUUGUAUAAUCCUAGAUUUGCUGAAGUAAUUUCUUUGCUAAGUAGUUUGGUUGCCACACCAGCUUGGAGAUUCUGAGAAGCUCCUAGAGAUGAGUGGCCUUCUAUCAUCCGCGGGAAGGCUGCUUGUAUAAAUGUUGUGAAGCCUGUCUUGUGUUGGUGAUGAUUUUCAAUUACCAUUCUUGGCUUUUCUGUGAAACUCCAAUUCCAAUAUUUGUGAAGAAGUUACUGGUCAUAUAGCUAAAAGUGAAUGGUUCCAUUUAAUAGUCCCACUUGGAAGCAGAUUGACAAAGCAGGAUUGAGCGUUGACCGAUUACAUCUGGAUUUUGUCCACCCACAGAUAUGUAUGUAAUGCAAAGGAUAUGUAUGUAAUUACAGAAAAGUAUGUAAUGCAAAGGAAUCCCCCCACAAGAAGAAAAGUGUCAUUUGUAUGUUUUCCUGGUUCUCUGAAGACUUCAGCCUUGUAGUGAAUGGAACCUAAAGAAAGCUUGACAGAAAAUGAAAUGUGUAUCCUGUCUACUUAAUGAAACCUCCAACCCAAACCAAAGGAACAGAAAACUUUAUAUGUGCUCUUAAAUAAAAUAGGUAUUAGUG